rnacentral:lncRNA from 1 species
GCCAAUUUCUGAGUCCUGAGCCCUGGCUAUUAAGCUCGCAACAGCUCAUGAGCAGUUCGAUUCUUUGGCACUUUUAUAGAAUCUUAAACUUCUUCUUAAUUCUUAUGCUCCAUCUGGUCAUUUCAGAUAGAUAGCAUAACUGCCCAAAUUUGAUGCUUUUUUCAUUUCUCUGAGGAUGCUGCCAUAAGCAUUAAAGAGCCCUUCUCUCCAGAAAGAGCCUUAACUGCAAUGCAUGCGUUCCCGGCUGAGAAACGGGCUUCAAAGAAUGUCAUAGAAUUAGAACUGGAGUCGGUUAUUUUGAGACUCAGAAGGAA